GAUAACUCUAAACAUGGGGUCAGAUUGCAUUUUUAAAUACUGUAACACAACAGAUCUUCUCUUCACUGAUAGCAGUUGGAAGGUCUUCCAGCACUUAACUUCCCUAAGACAUAUCAAGUAAGAACAUCAUUCAGAGGAUAAUAUAAAAAUGGAAAUUCUUAUACUCAAAGGACUGGUCUCCAUUUUUCUACUUGAUCUUUGUAACUCUCAGGUGACUGUACUGGAGCCAUACAGCAGCUCAGAGAUCUCCAUGACAACCCAAGUAGGCACAGCUGUGCCAGACAGAGAAAUUGAAACAACUCAAGAGAGCGACAACAAUGAGCAAGAUUUUGCUCCAGCCCCAACUGAAACCUACUUGUUACCUCAGUCACAAGCUCCUGAGAUAUUCGGCUUACAUGAAGAAGGUAACAAAAUGGCUGGAGAGAUCAGGGAAGAGUCGAAUGACUUCAAUGAGAUUAUUACACCCAAAGAUGAACUUCUGAACCCAGAAGAAAUCAAGCCCAUGCCUACUCUGGACAACUCUGUAGAGGAAAUCCCAGUAACCCUUUUGCUCCCCCUUUCAGAUGAGGAUGGAAACAGAGAUAUCUUAGACACAACAACCUAUGAUACACGUAACGAGGUGGUUGCCUUAGGCCUUGAGGCUUGGAGGUUUGGAGCAAUUUCUGCAGCUGUUCUCUUGGUCUUGGAGACAAUUGUGGUUAUUGUUUAUUGCUUGAAGUGCAAGAAAAGAAGAAUAAGAAGGACAAUGGCAGUCAAAAUGAUUGAAGACAGUGAAGCAGCAGAAACAAUUCAUGGAGAGUCCAAUGAAAACACGCUCACUGGUGGGGAUGUUCAACCAAACCAAACUGCGUCAAAUGGUUCAUGUGAGGUGACAAUACCCAAAGAAAAACAGGAAAUAAAAGCCGACAUUCUUCUGGAUUCCCUUUCAAGGGAUGCUAGUCUUUAGGACAAACCACAUGAUGUCAGAACAUCAGCGCUUUAAAGGUCUACAUUGUAGCUUUAUACUCAGUUUCUUUAUUAAAGUUAUGAGUUUGCACUCAACUGAAGAAAUUAUGUGUUCGUCUAGUCUUUUUUGAAUAACGACUAGUUUACACUUAUCUACUAUAAACCAAACAAACUUAAUAGACCAAAUGGCUUCCUCUCAUUGUGUAAUGUUCUUGAAUGCAAACACAGAUAUAAUGAAUGGUAAUGUAUAAGGGCACAUUUUUAUUUUAAAGUUGUUUUUGGCUAUAUUACUUUUAGAAUUUAAGUGUGAUUAAUGACUUACAAAAUGAUUUUAAAUAGAUCUAUGAAGACGGUUACAGAAAUCUACUUUAAAAAAAUCUAUACAGAAAAAAUACAGAAAAAUAUAAAAAUUGCAAAAUACAGAUGCAUUGUCUUAAUUAUCUUAGAAUUUAAUACAGUAAAGUGUUAUUGUUUUGGAGGUUCACUGACUUUAUUGUUUCCUAUUUGGUUUAUAUUAUAAACUACUUGUAUUUCAUUUGGUUUUCUGUAUUAUAUAAUUAUUUUAUUGUUAGUAAGACAUGUUUUAUUACAUUAAAUUAGCAUUUUCAGCAUUUUCUCAUCUUCAGAAUGUUUUAUUAUAUUGUAUAUCCAUGUAUGCAUGUACAAUACAUUAUUUCCUUGUGUUUUUCAAGAAAAAUAUAAAAUUGUCAAGCAAUAAUCCAUUUUAGCAUAUCAGUUUCAGAGAUCUGGCAGACUUGUCAUUCCAGAAUUGCCUCUAGGGAAAAGAGAACGUGAGGUUAAAAGAAAAUAAAAUUGAGACUACAAAAGAGAAGCUUGUUAUGUUAUUCAUUGCAAUGUAAUCUUUAACAUCCAAAGACCAUUCUAGCUCUAGAAUGGUGUAGAAAUUCCUAGAAAUCAAUAUAAUAGGCUAAGAAAUUCUUCUGAUCCAUUUAUGAAAACUGUCUAACUGACCAUGAGAUAAUGUCGGUAAAAGUCUGCUAAACAAAAUCUUUGUAAUUUUUUUUCUGAAUGAAAUCAUAUGAAUAACAACCAUAUAGUAUAAAUCCUGAAAACUACGUAACUACAGUAAAUUCAUUGUUUUGUUCAGCAACAAGAUUGCAUUUAAUACCUAGGGUAUUGUAUAUGAAACAUAAAAAUAAAUGACUUCUUCACACCAAAUCUCUUAGUUCUCUUACAACUUUUGACAAACCUGUUGUUGAACCUCAAAUAUUUUUCAACAACAACACUUUUACAGUAAAUCUGUGUACUAACCAUGUUACGUCCCAGUGUGUUUAUGUAAUAAGAGUUUUUUCAAUUGCAAUUGCCAGUUUAGUUUUUUAUAAUAUCCUAAUGUGAAAAUCCCAAUUGUCCAAGCACGUAUUGCUUCAACCUUUGUAAAAGCACAGAAGGGUUGAUGACACAUGCUCUCAGGAUAUGCAGCUUCUAUCGCACAGCAUCUACAGCAGAGAUAGCAUCUGGAUUGAUAUGACUCAGCAUUACAAUGCAUGCACAAAAACAAUAAGCAAGCCAUAAGAGUUACUAUUGCAUUAUAAAGUGAGGAGACCUUCUAAAAUUUCCAAUUUUCCUUUGCAAAGUGACACUCAGCCUCCGCAAAUUGUGUGUUGCAGUACAUUAAACUUCAAUGACAGACUUGUAAAAGAUUAGGAUUGGUUUUAACUGAAACACCUGUGGCGAAUGAACCCUGCAAAGAAUUGUCCAUCAUUGUCUUCUAUGGUCUUCUUCUUCUUCUUCUUCUUCUUUUUCACAGCCUUAGUCCCAGACUGUCCUGGGGUCAGCUGCUUUGGUUGCUCUUCUCCAUUUGUCUCUGUCGAGCACAUCUUCCUCACUCACUUCACAUACCUCCAUAUUU
rnacentral:lncRNA from 1 species